CCACAUGAGCGAAAUCCAGAGCGAGCGAGCGAGCGGUCGCGCUAGGGCCACAGCGAUCGAGCAAGAGGAAAAAACAAUCGAACCCUAGCCCCAAUCCAUGGCCCUGCGCCCCUCACUCCUCCCUCCCUCGUCCGCCGCCACUCCCUCCCACCUCCUCCUCCUAUGCCCUAGGAGCCCCGCCACCUACUGCUACUCCUCCACCGCAUCGCCUCUUCCUCCUCCUUACCUUCCCAUCGCUCGUCUUCAGGCUGCAGCGGUGGUUCUCGAUCUGAGCCGUCUUCAGGUGCGUCGAGCGACGGAGGUCGGCUCCCUCCUUCUCCACGGUCGCUUGGCGGGAGAGGAGUCAGCCCCGGUGCUCUGCCUCUCCAUCCGUCUCCGCAAGCCAUCGUCCGAUGCCGUUGUUGCCCGCCAUCAUCUUGCUCGCUGCGUGCUUGCUAUAGAGCCAUGGCUUUCCUCGCUGUAGGUUAUGCCAUGGCUUUUCUUGUCCCGUCCCACUCGCCUCCCCCUCCUCGUCAUCCUCCUCUCUCUCUCUCUCUCCCGCGGCUAGGAUUCGGGCUAGGGUUCAGGCGCCUUCCCUUCUCUCCUCCUCUACCCAAAGCCGCCUCCCCUCCUUUCUCUCCUUCUCCACUAACGAGGCCGGGCCAGGAGCAGCGAGGCCGGGGCGGCGGCGCAGACAAGAAACUGUGGGCUCUCCUCCGCAAAUAUCUACCGGGACGACGGUAGCCCGACGAGGAUCCCCGGUCAACGGUGCCCCGGGCGCUCACUGCCAAGAAGCUGCCGGAGGAGGAACUCGACCCGGACGACCGCCGCUGGACAAAGAGCCCCGAAAAAAUCCCCAACCACCCCUGCGCCACCGCCUCUUCACCUUCGACCAUGGGUUGCAACAGUCAGAGGACCAAGUUGGAGCAUACUAGGCAAAUGGGCCUUGCCGUGAGUCGUGGUGCAGCAGUGACCUCGAUGGGCAGGGUAAUGGUCAGAUACGAGUCAGCAGCAAAGAUGACUGUAAGCAUUCAAAAAAGUUUACCACGCUAGGGCGAUGUCAGGUUGUACAAGGGCAGUUAAUGAAUAUACUUGUGACACUUAUACUCUCAGCAAUGCCGACAAACAUGGUUUAUGAUGAUAUUGGUGGUCUGAAGCUUUAGAUCGUCGGGGCUGCUCUCAUUCGUUCAAUUUGCCAGUGAUCCCUUCCAUUCUACUGCUGCUCAUUAUUAUCAUAUGAAGGAGGUGUUCUUCCAUUACAAUACUCCUGACGUGUUUUAUGAAAUGUCUAUGAGCUGGUAUGUUGUUCAUUCUCUUUUUUUUUCUUGCAGGCUGAUCUAUGUUCUCUGUUUGUUGGGUCCUCCGUGUCAUUAUGAACAAGGUUGGGUCUCUCUUGCUCAGUUUUUGUCUACUAAAAGUGAUGUGAGCUGAUGUGCUUGUUUUGGCGGUCUCCCUGUGUGUGUGAUAUUUGUUUGCAUGUCAACCCUGUGUGCUUGAAAUUUACUCUCAUAUCAUGAUAUCAAACGAGGAUGUGUUCUUGUUUACCUCUUGAAUAGACAGAUCUUGGUGCAUUACUGGUACCGUGCCUCUAGGUGGUCAGCGAGGGUCACACUUGCGCUAUGCUUCCCUUUGGAUUCUAGCAUGGUGUUCGGGUGCCUAGCUUAGUUCAGUUGUGAGUCGAAAGCAACGAAAUCAUAUGUUUCUGAAUCUUGGAUAUACAUUACAAUCCAGCGGCCCAUUCUUGUCGUGCCUGGACUGGCUAGAUCGAUUAGAGUUUGUCUAAUAUGCCUUCGGUGAUCAGCAGCAACACACGAGAUCUUGUAACCUGCAUUAGUUAUUGUUUGCACAAUAAUUACUUAUUGAUAUAAUUACCAAGCUAUCCGAGCCAUCAUUCCCCGGACACCACUUGGUUUCCUUGCCCAUUUAUUCAUCGGAUAUGUACACAAUUGACAGGAUUGACUUCAGAUCUUACAUAAGGUUUCAUAAAGAUAGUUUAGAACCUAAGCUAUACAAAGUUUUACAAAUGAAAUCUACACAAACUCAUGGAUUUGAAACUGAAAGAUAUUAUGUGAUGCAUCUCCAAAAAUCCAGCAUAAUUAUAUAGAGGAAACAUAUAUUCCCAAAAAUUUACGGUCGUGGUCGAGAGCAACAGCGAGUGUAGAGCAAGCCUGUGGGAGAGUUUUUCUGAAUGCAAGCCUUCAGCUCGCCCCGACAACCUUUCCCUGUCAGCUUUGCUCCCCUCUUCCUCCCCUUUGCUUAGAAUUGUUUUAUUGUCAUUCAUAUUCUAUAUUAAAUUCUGAUGAGGUUUCUGUUUGUUAGAUUAAAUUCUAGCCAAGACUAAAUUGUAGCCACAAGAAGGCAGGAUUCUACUUGUUUAGUCUAAAAAAGAGUUUUUGACUUAUUUGAUUAGAUUCUAAGUUAGCUUUUGGGGGGACUUUAGAUACAAUCUGUUAGUUGAAAAAAUAUGUGUUCUUGCGCUUGAGAAAUUGCUGCCAGUGUUACUGUAUCAUAUAUGAAUAUGUACAAGGCAUCAGAAAGCAACAAGUAGAGGAACAAUUAAUUUAGUUUUAAUAUUAUAGUGCUACUCAUCCUAAAUUGUGUUAAAUUAAUCUGCUAGACUAUGGUGAUGACAGAGGGGUACUGUUUUUUAAAAUUGUUUCUUUGUUCCAAUUAUAAAGGGCCUGUCGUGGUUCUAAGUCUGACAGUAGAAUGGGGGGUAAGUAUGGAGAGGCAAGAUCCUAGCUAUGGAGUAGUUGUACACACGAGUGUUUUACGAGUUCAGGCCCUUCUCGAAGGAAGUAAU